UACGUAGGGGGCAAGCGUUGUCCGGAAUCAUUGGGCGUAAAGCGCGUGUAGGCGGCUUGGUAAGUCCGCUCUGAAAGCCCGGGGCUCAACCCCGGGAGGCGGGUGGAUACUGUCAAGCUCGAGUCCGGAAGAGGCGAGUGGAAUUCCUGGUGUAGCGGUGAAAUGCGCAGGAUAUCAGGAGGAACACCAAUGGCGAAGGCAGCUCGCUGGGACGUGACUGACGCUGAGACGCGAAAGCGUGGGGAGCAAACAGGAUAGAUACCGUGU
rnacentral:rRNA from 1 species